rnacentral:rRNA from 1 species
CGUAGGGUGCGAGCGUUAAUCGGAAUUACUGGGCGUAAAGCGUGCGCAGGCGGUUUUGUAAGACAGAUGUGAAAUCCCCGGGCUCAACCUGGGACCUGCAUUUGUGACUGCAAGGCUAGAGUACGGUAGAGGGGGAUGGAAUUCCGCGUGUAGCAGUGAAAUGCGUAGAUAUGCGGAGGAACACCGAUGGCGAAGGCAAUCCCCUGGACCUGUACUGACGCUCGUGCACGAAAGCGUGGGGAGCAAACAGGAUUAGAUACCCUGGUAGUCCACGCCCUAAACGAUGUCAACUGGUUGUUGGGUCUUCACUGACUCAGUAACGAAGCUAACGCGUGAAGUUGGCCGCCUGGGGAGUACGGCCGCAAGGUUG